rnacentral:lncRNA from 1 species
AAACUAUUCUCUGCGAUUUGAAUGAAUGGAGCGGGGAGACUCAGAGGAUAGGUCACAAAUUUAAAAGCCACAGAGGUCAAGGAGAAUGGAGCUGUUAACAUCACUCCUAUGACAAAAAGAAGACCAGGAAGGAGGAUACAGACACGAAAUGAAUUCAAGGGAAUACAACAAACAGGAACUUCUGGAAUUCACUACCAGAGUCAAAGGCCAAGCCACGUUUCUCUGUCCUCCUGCCUGGCUUCAAUGCACCAUGAACCAGGACCCCAGCCUAGCCGGAAUCGGACCUUCAUACAGAACAAGGUUUUGUGUGAUGAAGAAGGAAAACCUCUGAAAUGUGAAUUUAAAAGUCAAGCACCCAAGAACCCCAGCUAUCUCAUCAACACUUCAGAUACCUCAGAAAUGCAUUGGAAUUUUUAAAAAAUUGAUUCUACAAAUCCCCUGCUUCUCUUCAGACCACGUGGGGUUUGCAGCAGAAUACAUGCCAUAUAGACACAUCCCCUGAAGUGUAAUAGAUUUGAAUUGCACAC